AUAUUUUUAUGGAUGAUAUUAUUUUUAAAAAAUGUAUUAUUAAAAUUCUAAAAUAUGUAAAAAAAUCAUUUAAAAAAAAUUAUUUAACUAAAAUAUGUAAAAAAAAAAAUAUUUGCAAACAUUGGACAAGGUCUGUACUGUACCUGGAAAAUCUGGAAAAUAUGUUAAUAUUGGCCAAAGUCGUGGAAAAACUGGAAAAUGCAAUCUCAAACAUUAACUAGAAUUGUUUUGUGUCAGUGCCAGAAAUUGAAUGCACACCUGCAAAUUUCAUAAUUCAUAAAAAUAUUAUGAAUCCAUUAGCAAAUAAAGUUGUAUCCUUUAAAGAUAUGCUGGUAUUAUAGACACAAUCGGCAAGCAUUGAAGUACAACUUAAUGAACUACAAAAUACAUCAAAUUCAGUUAUAAAAAUUUGAGUAACAAAGGUAUGCUAAUUAUUCUAUUGUCUGAAAGAGUAUCAUUGCCAUUAAAAGCAAUGAAGAAGUCAAGUACUCUGGAAGAAAAAAGACAAAAAAAAACUUAAGUAAAUGGUAAUGUAGUAGUGGUGUAGUGGUAGAACACUCGCUUCAUAAGCGAGAGGUUCUGAUUUCGAUCCCCACCACG